UUGAAAAGGCGCUUUCAUGAGUUAGAAGACCAGGAGAAAGAGUAUGAAACCAAAACAAGAAAAGCCCAAGAAUUGUUGGAGAAGCGGGAAGCUGCUGUGGUUGCCAAGGAACAAGCUUCACUGGAGAGGCUCCAGGAGAAAAGAGAUGCUGCUGUCUUUGCCAUUACUAAUGCUCUAGAGAAGCACAGGAAGGUAUCACCUGUGGAACCUGCUGUUGUAACCAUUGAUGUGCAAGGUGAGCCCCCAACUGUUGAAGACCAACCAGCUGAUACUAUGGCUGCUGAAAGUAAUUUGGAAGAGAGUAAUAAUUCUUCUGAAAAUGGAAAUGUGGAGGUGAUAUCUUAUCCAGAGUUGGUCAAACUAUGUGAAGUAAUGGACUCAGAAGGGCUGCACAAAUUUAUAUCAGAUAAUAGAAAGAACCUUGCUGUCCUGAGGGAGGAAAUUCCACUUGCCUUAAAAGCUGCAGAAAACCCAGCGCAACUGGUCUUGAACUCGUUGGAAGAUUUCUAUCCCAUGGAAGUGCCAACCUUUGAUGGAAAGAAAGACUCGGCCCUUUUGGGUCUUCGUCGCACCUGUAUCAUGUUGAUGGAGUGCCUCAGCAUUUUGCUUGCAUGUACAGAUCUAGUUUCCGUUUCUGAUGUAAUCUCUGAAGAUAUUAAGGAGCAGGCAAAGGCAAUUGCUGAAGAAUGGAAACCCAAGUUGGAUGGGCUAGAUAUGGAUGCUAGCAAUGGGAACUCCUUGGAGGCACAUGCUUUCUUGCAACUUCUGGCCACCUUUGGUAUCGCAUCUGAUUUUGAUGAGGAAGAACUAUCCAGGCUAAUUCCAAUGGUUUCUCGUCGUCGCCAAGCUGCUGUACUCUGUCGUUUUCUUGGCUUGUCAGAGAAGAUGCCAGGUUUGUCUUUCUAUUGCAUGUUCGGUGAUGUUUAUAGAGCUAUGGUGAUUUAUCUAUUAAGAAGAACACAAUCUAUUGCUUUCUUUCAUUUUUCUGGUUUUGCAACUUUCUGUUGCUAACUAUUUUUUUUUCAUCUUUUAAAUUAUGGAUCCUUCAGGUGUUAUUGAAGUACUGAUCAAUAGUGGUAGGCAAAUUGAUGCAGUUAACUUGGCUUUUGCUUUUGAGUUGACCGAACAAUUUUCACCAGUACCUUUACUCAAAUCAUACUUGAAGGAGGCAAGAAAAACUUCAUCAUCUGUCAAACCUGGAAGUGCAUCACCAACUGCCAUGCAGGUAUGUGCUCUCUAUAUUAUCCUCUCCUUGCAACUUGGCUUUUGAUGCAUUGUGCAGGUGUGUAUUUUGCCUCAACUGUCAAUUAUAGUGCUAUUAAUUGUUUAUGUAUUUAUAAUUUUCUUGUUGACAAUUCCAGCUAGGAAGUUAUCUCAUUCAUAUGGAUUUUUGUCUAAGAUCAGCUCAAUCCAAAUAUUUAGAGAACUAUGAUUCUUGUUAUUCAUGGGAGCGAAUGGUAAUUGUGUGCAUGUAAAAGAUAGAAAAAGGCUAAUAUAGUUUAUGUAUAUCCUGGCACCAUAUGUGAUCUUUUAAAGUAUAUUAUGCACAUCUAUGUUUGCAUUUGCAUUGGUUCCAUAUUCAACACAAGUGUUCAUCAUGCCCUUGAUCCUCAUUAUUAAAUUUGUUGCGAGACCUUGCUCAAAAUUUCUUGUUUUUUUUUUUUUGUCUCAGAUUGGUGGUAAGUGGUAAUCGAAUAGGCCUUGUAGUUUUAGAUUAGUUACAAAAAGGCAAAACCAUAGUUUAAGGUGAAGGAAAGAAGGGGAGAGUAGGAAAAGGGAGGGAGGGAAGAAAAGGAGGGGGAGGGGAGGUACUAAACCCAAAGAAGUGUCAAACCUACAAUAGCAGAAUUGUGAAUGUGCUUAUAACUUGUCAGUUCACAGGGUUUUGGGGCCAGCUUCUUAAACCUUCAAACAUUAACUUGAUUAAGCUUCCUGGAUCUGGUAGCUGUAUUUGUGAAUUUUUCUUUCUUCCUACAUGAAGGUUAUGCAUUGUGAUUAUUAUUCAUAUUGGAGAUCUAUUAGAGUCGUUGCCAUUGCAGAUGUUCAAUGAAGUUGCGUAAAUUAACCAUUUUUUAAUGCAUUUCUAUAUCGCAUAAAAAUUUUAUUAUUUUGUUUUUUCUCAGAAUGAUGUCAAUGAGCGAGAGCUGACUGCUCUUAAAGCUGUGAUAAAGUGCAUUGAAGAGCAUAAGCUUGAGGAGCAGUAUCCUGUUGACCCUCUCCAAAAGCGCCUUAUUCAGCUGGAGAAGGCCAAGGCAGACAAGAAAAGAGCGACUGAAGUUGCAAAGCCUCAACCCAAGAGACCACGUGCUAAUGGCGUUGGAUGUGGGCCCCGUGUCACUAACGUUACUGCUGACAAAACAUUCUAUCCUAGAGUCACUGAUAGGUAUCCGCAGUACGUGUAUGACAGACCGUAUGUUUACCCUGGACCCACUGACAAUCAUGUUGCCCCUCUAAUGGGUUCUGCUACUUACAACUUCUC
rnacentral:lncRNA from 1 species